rnacentral:rRNA from 1 species
AAUGAACGUUGGCGGCGUGGAUUAGGCAUGCAAGUCGAGCGAGAACCCCGCAAGGGGGGACAGCGGCGAAAGGGACAGUAAUGUGUAGAUUAUCUGCCCUCAGGUCCGGGAUAGCUGCGGGAAACUGCAGGUAAUACCGGAUAACAUCUCCGGAUCAAAGGUGUGAUUCCGCCUGAGGAUGAGUCUGCAUCCUAUUAGCUAGUUGGUGGGGUAAUGGCCUACCAAGGCAUUGAUGGGUAGCAGGUGUGAGAGCACGACCUGCGUCAUUGGGACUCAGACACAGCCCAGACACCUACGGGUGGCUCCAGUCGAGAAUCUUCGGCAAUGUGCGCAAGCCUGACCGAGCGACGCCGCGUGUGGGAUGAAGGCCUUCGGGUUGUAAACCACUGUCAGAGGGGAUGAAAUGCAGGUGGGUUCUCCCAUCUGUUUGACAUAGCCUCAGAGGAAGGACGGUCUAAGUUCGUGCCAGCCGCCGCCGUAAUAC